UGAGCAGUUGGAAGCUCAGUGGUAGAGUGCAUGCUUGUGUAUGAUGUCCUGGGUUCGAACCCCAGCUGCUCCC